UACGUAGGGCGCAAGCGUUGUCCGGAAUUAUUGGGCGUAAAGAGCUCGUAGGCGGUUUGUCGCGUCUGCUGUGAAAUCCCGAGGCUCAACCUCGGAAUUGCAGUGGGUACGGGCAAACUAGAGUGUGGUAGGGGAGACUGGAAUUCCUGGUGUAGCGGUGGAAUGCGCAGAUAUCAGGAGGAACACCAAUGGCGAAGGCAGGUCUCUGGGCCACAACUGACGCUGAGGAGCGAAAGCAUGGGGAGCGAACAGG
rnacentral:rRNA from 1 species